GAUGAAGAACGCAGCGAAAUGCGAUAAGUAAUGUGAAUUGCAGAAUUCAGUGAAUCAUCGAAUCUUUGAACGCACAUUGCGCCCGCCAGUAUUCUGGCGGGCAUGCCUGUUCGAGCGUCAUUUCAACCAUCAAGCCCUGCUUGCGUUGGGGUCCUGCGGCUGCCCGCAGGCCCUGAAAACCAGUGGCGGGCUCGCUAGUCACACCGAGCGCAGUAAUACAUCUCGCUUUGGGCGUGCGGCGGGUUCUUGCCGUUAAACACCCCCUUUUUACCAAGGUUGACCUCGGAUCAGGUAGGAAUACCCGCUGAACUUAAGCAUAACAAUAACGGAGGA
rnacentral:misc_RNA from 1 species